rnacentral:rRNA from 1 species
CUACGGGAUGCACCAGUGAGGAAUAUUGCACAAUGGAGGGAACUCUGAUGCAGCAACGCCGCGUGGAGGAUGACGCAUUUCGGUGUGUAAACUCCUUUUAUAUGUCAAGAAAAUGACGGUAGCAUAUGAGUAAGCACCGGCUAACUCCGUGCCAGCAGCCGCGGUGAAUACGGAGGGUGCAAGCGUUACUCGGAAUCACUGGGCGUAAAGGACGCGUAGGCGGGAUAUCAAGUCAGGUGUGAAAUCCUACAGCUUAACUGUAGAACUGCACUUGAAACUGGUAAGCUAGAGUAUGGGAGGGGGAGGUGGAAUUAGUGGUGUAGGGGUAAAAUCCGUAGAUAUCACUAGGAAUACCUAAAGCGAAGGCGAUCUCCUGGAACAUAACUGACGCUAAGGCGUGAAAGCGUGGGGAGCAAACAGGAUUAGAUACCCGGGUAGUC